rnacentral:rRNA from 1 species
UACGUAGGGUGCAAGCGUUAAUCGGAAUUACUGGGCGUAAAGCGUGCGCAGGCGGUUUUGUAAGUCUGACGUGAAAUCCCCGGGCUCAACCUGGGAAUUGCGUUGGAGACUGCAAGGCUAGAAUCUGGCAGAGGGGGGUAGAAUUCCACGUGUAGCAGUGAAAUGCGUAGAGAUGUGGAGGAACACCGAUGGCGAAGGCAGCCCCCUGGGUCAAGAUUGACGCUCCUGCACGAAAGCGUGGGGAGCAAACAGG